GUUUGGUACCUGACAGAGGUACAUCUUUUCCGAUGUUGAACCCAUCAUGGCCAUGUUGGAUCCACCAUCAAGUUUUAUUUUUGAAAACAUCGUCAGGGAUAUCUUCAUAAAAAAUAUAAGUGACGCCUCUCUAAAAAUCACGCUUUGCGGGGAUCAAGCAUCAGGUUUCUCUAUUGACAAUGUCUGCAAUCAAGGCAAUAAUAAACCUAUUGUCAUAAUGUUUGUUGGAUGCUUAGCUAAGCAAUUCAAAGGCCAAUCAUAUCUAAGCGGCACUGCAGCAACUACAUGGUACUUCAAUCCAGACAUUCCUGAGGCACAGGAAUACUACAUCAAGUUACAAAGAAGUGAUCUCCAAAUGAUUAAACCCACAGUAGCAGAAGAAGAAUUUGAGGUUUCUCAAAAACCGAAUAUCGAAGACAAGACUAUCCAAGAACUACUUGAGAUGGAUCUAGAUAUGUUCCCUCCACAGGGCUUUAAGUGCACCGCCACUAUAUCACGACUCAUACAAGAUAGCAAAUGGUGGUUUCCAUCUUGCACCAAAUGCAAAAAGUCUUCACCUCAAACCUCCACUGGAUACCGCUGUACAUCAUGUGGUUGUACAGAUGUAAAGUUUAGCUACAAACUCAGCUUCGUUGCCACUGAUGGAACAUGUGAAGCUGAGUUCUU
rnacentral:misc_RNA from 1 species